GACGAACGCUGGCGGCGUGCUUAACACAUGCAAGUCGAACGGUGAAAGCGGAGCUUGCUCCGCUGGAUCAGUGGCGAACGGGUGAGUAACACGUGGGCAACCUGCCCCGGACUUCGGGAUAACUCCUCGAAAGAGGUGCUAAUACCGGAUACGAAUCCUGCAGGCAUCUGCGGGAUUGGAAAGUUUUACGGUCAGGGAUGGGCCCGCGGCCUAUCAGCUUGUUGGUGAGGUAGUGGCUCACAAAGGCGACGACGGGUAUCCGGCCUGAGAGGGCGACCGGCCACACUGGGACUGAGACACGGCCCAGACUCCUACGGGAGGCAGCAGUGGGGAAUAUUGCGCAAUGGGCGAAAGCCUGACGCAGCAACGCCGCGUGAGGGAUGACGGCCUUCGGGUUGUAAACCUCUUUCAGCAGGGAAGAAGCGAAAGUGACGGUACCUGCAGAGGAAGCACCGGCUAACUACGUGCCAGCAGCCGCGGUAA
rnacentral:rRNA from 1 species